rnacentral:rRNA from 1 species
GUGGGGAAUAUUGGACAAUGGGGGCAACCCUGAUCCAGCCAUGCCGCGUGAAUGAUGAAGGCCUUCGGGUUGUAAAGUUCUUUUGGAGGGGACGAUGAUGACGGUAUCCUCAGAAUAAGCUCCGGCUAACUUCGUGCCAGCAGCCGCGGUAAUACGAAGGGAGCUAGCGUUGUUCGGAAUUACUGGGCGUAAAGGGCGCGUAGGCGGUUUGGUUAGUCAGAUGUGAAAGCCCAGGGCUUAACCCUGGAACUGCGUUUGAUACUGCCAAGCUUGAAUUCGGGAGAGGUGAGUGGAAUUCCGAGUGUAGAGGUGAAAUUCGUAGAUAUUCGGAGGAACACCAGUGGCGAAGGCGGCUCACUGGCUCGAUACUGACGCUGAGGUGCGAAAGCGUGGGGAGCAAACAGGAUUAGAAACCCCGGUAGUCC